rnacentral:rRNA from 1 species
UACGGAGGAUCCGAGCGUUAUCCGGAUUUAUUGGGUUUAAAGGGUGCGUAGGCGGUUUGAUAAGUUAGAGGUGAAAUGUCGGGGCUCAACCCCGAAACUGCCUCUAAUACUGUUGGACUAGAGAAUAGUUGCGGUAGGCGGAAUGUAUGGUGUAGCGGUGAAAUGCUUAGAGAUCAUACAGAACACCGAUUGCGAAGGCAGCUUACCAAACUAUAUCUGACGUUGAGGCACGAAUGCGUGGGUAGCAAACAGG